rnacentral:rRNA from 1 species
GGCGAACGGGUGAGGAACACGUGAGAAAUCUGCCUUCAACUCUGGGAUAACUCCGGGAAACCGGGGCUAAUACCGGAUAUGAAACCUUCAGGCAUCUGAGGGUUUGGAAAGUUUUUCGGUUGAAGAUGAUCUCGCGGCCUAUCAGCUUGUUGGUGAGGUAAUGGCUCACCAAGGCGACGACGGGUAGCCGGCCUGAGAGGGCGACCGGCCACACUGGGACUGAGACACGGCCCAGACUCCUACGGGAGGCAGCAGUGGGGAAUAUUGGGCAAUGGAGGAAACUCUGACCCAGCGACGCCGCGUGCGGGAUGAAGGCCUUCGGGUUGUAAACCGCUUUCAGCAGGGAAGAAGCGAAAGUGACGGUACCUGCAGAAGAAGCACCGGCUAACUAUGUGCCAGCAGCCGCGGUAAUACAUAGGGUGCAAGCGUUGUCCGGAAUUAUUGGGCGUAAAGAGCUCGUAGGUGGUUCGUCACGUCGGAUGUGAAACUCUGGGGCUUAACCCCAGACCUGCAUUCGAUACGGGCGAGCUUGAGUAUGGUAGGGGAGUCUGGAAUUCCUGGUGUAGCGGUGGAAUGCGCAGAUAUCAGGAGGAACACCAAUGGCGAAGGCAGGACUCUGGGCCAUUACUGACACUGAGGAGCGAAAGCGUGGGGAGCGAACAGGAUUAGAUACCCUGGUAGUCCACGCCGUAAA